UCUCACCGGAUCCAUCAUCAUCAC
rnacentral:siRNA from 1 species